UGAGCAUCAUUAAUGUUAAGGUUGAAGCA
rnacentral:piRNA from 1 species